rnacentral:rRNA from 1 species
ACUCCUACGGGAGGCAGCAGUGGGGAAUAUUGCACAAUGGGCGCAAGCCUGAUGCAGCCAUGCCGCGUGUGUGAAGAAGGCCUUCGGGUUGUAAAGCACUUUCAGUCGUGAGGAAGGUAGUGUAGUUAAUAGCUGCAUUAUUUGUACGUUAGCGACAGAAGAAGCACCGGCUAACUCCGUGCCAGCAGCCGCGGUAAUACGGAGGUGCAAGCGUUAAUCGGAAUUACUGGGCGUAAAGCGCAUGCAGGUGGUUUGUUAAGUCAGAUGUGAAAGCCCGGGGCUCAACCUCGGAAUAGCAUUUGAAACUGGCAGACUAGAGUACUGUAGAGGGGGUAGAAUUUCAGGUGUAGCGGUGAAAUGCGUAGAGAUCUGAAGG